rnacentral:rRNA from 1 species
UAGUCCACGCCCUAAACGAUGUGUGCUAGCUGUUAGUCCUUCAGGGAUUAGUGGCGCAGCUAACGCGAUAAGCACACCGCCUGGGGAGUACGGCCGCAAGGUUAAAACUCAAAGAAAUUGACGGGGACCCGCACAAGCGGUGGAGCAUGUGGUUUAAUUCGAAGCAACGCGAAGAACCUUACCAACCCUUGACAUCCUGAUCGCGGAUCGCAGAGAUGCUUUCCUUCAGUUCGGCUGGAUCAGUGACAGGUGCUGCACGGCUGUCGUCAGCUCGUGUCGUGAGAUGUUCGGUUAAGUCCGGCAACGAGCGCAACCCCUAUUUCCAGUUACCAUCAUUUAGUUGGGGACUCUGGCAAAACUGCCCGUGACAAGCGGGAGGAAGGUGGGGACGACGUCAAGUCAUCAUGGCCCUUACGGGUUGGGCUACACACGUGCUACAAUGGCGGUGACAAUAGGAAGCGAAGGCGCGAGCCGGAGCAAAUCCUCAAAAACCGUCUCAGUUCGGAUUG